CCGUUUCUUUGGCCUUUCUUAUUUUGCUUUCUUCAUUCUUUGGCUUUUAGAUUUUUUGCUUCUCCCCUCGAUUUCUCCAUCCUCCCUUUUCUUUUACUUUUCCCAUUCCUUUCAUCUUUUUGUCUUCUUUUUUCAUUGCUUUUUUCGUUUUUUACUUUUUUUUGGCUUCCUUAAAUUGUUUUGGUGUUUUUUUCUUUGAUUUGUUUAGUCUUUGAUUUGUUCAACCAUUGUUCUUCUUGGUUUUUUUUUUUACUUUUUUUUGGUUUUGAUUUGUGAUAUGUAUUCUUUUCUCUUUUUUUUUCUUUUUUGCAUUUCGGUUUGGCUGUUGUAUGAAUAUGUCUUGGUUUUGUGACUUCCAUUUUUUCUUCUGUUUUGAUCUGUGGUUUUUGUGUUGCUUUGGUUUGAUUGUGUUAAUUUGCUUUAUGUUUUAGUUUUUCAAGUUGUAUUUUGUUUUCAUGUACUCAUGGUUUGAUUUUUCUUUCUUGCAAGUUCUUUUGUUCGACUUCUGUUUCACUGUUAUUUUUCAAAUUUGAUUUUUCUUUUAUUUAUUCUCUUUUAGUUUUUAUUUAUGUCUUCUCAGUCGAUGCUUUUGUUUUCAAGUUUUUAAGUUGUGCAUGUAAUGUUUUUUUUAUUUGCCUGUUAUUAGAAAAUUAUGUGUCCUGCCUUUUUCUUUUGUUGUUGUUCUAUUAUUGGUUUCAUUCUCGCUUUUGCACCUUUUGCAGCUGACGGUUUUUGUCUUCUUAGAUAUUGCUGUUUCAUUUCCUUGGCUUUUGUUGGUUUUUUGUGUUAUUAGCUUACAUUUUUUUUAGCAUAUCUAUUUUUCUGAUUGUCAUGGUUUUUAUGUUUCUUCUCAUUCCAUCUGUCAAUGAGUUUGCUGAUUCCUUAGCCAAGUUCGGAGUAGGAAGAGAGCAGGAUAUGAUGGUUGUGCUUUGUGAUAACUAAGAAUGACUUGUCCAGCGACUCGGGCGAGGUGGUGGUGGACCAUGGGGACGUUGAGGAUGUGGACCAUGGUGUUGAUGAGGCCCAAACGGUGGUGCAUACGGCUGCGGCGGCCCUGAGUGUGGAUGAUGCGGUCCAUGUGGUGGCCCCGGGUGUGGGUGGUGUGGAGGAUGUUGCAUAUCUUCUUGCACUUACCUACUUAGCUCUUUCUCUUCCCUUCUUAUACUUUGAUGUGCAGCAAACUGUUCGAGAGAACUAACGAACAUAUAUUGUUCACUGCCGAAUAUAUAUACAUGAAAAGACAAAAAUGAAUCACGUUCUGGUUUUUCUAUUUAAGAUAUUUAUUUGUUGGUUUCUAAUGUAUAUUUAUGGUUAUGACUCUCAAUUGAUUUAAGGCCAAAGAGAAUUUUUGUAAUUUUGUUAAUGAAAAAGGAUAAGCCCAUCUGUCUCAAUUCUCAUCA